rnacentral:rRNA from 1 species
UACGUAGGGGGCGAGCGUUGUCCGGAUUUAUUGGGCGUAAAGAGCGUGUAGGCGGUUCGGUAAGUCUGUCGUGAAAUCCUGAGGCUCAACCUCGGGCGUGCGAUGGAUACUGCCGGGCUAGAGGGUGGUAGAGGCGAGUGGAAUUCCCGGUGUAGCGGUGAAAUGCGCAGAUAGUCGGAGGAACACCAGUAGCGAAGGCGGCUCGCCGUGGCCACACCUGACGCUGAGACGCGAAAGCUAGGGGAGCGAACAGGA